AACGAACGCUGGCGGCGUGCCUAACACAUGCAAGUCGCGCGAGAAAGGGAUGGCAACAUCCUGAGUAAAGCGGCGCACGGGUGAGUAACACGUAGGUAACCUGCCUCUAAGACUGGGAUACCCCGUCGAAAGAUGGGCUAAUACCAGAUAAGACCACGGAGGCUUCGGCCCCCGGGGUAAAAGCUGGCCUCUGCAUGCAAGCUAACACUUAGAGAUGGGCCUGCGGACCAUUAGCUAGUUGGUAGGGUAACGGCCUACCAAGGCAAAGAUGGUUAGCUGGUCUGAGAGGACGACCAGCCACACUGGGACUGAGACACGGCCCAGACUCCUACGGGAGGCAGCAGUGGGGAAUCUUGGGCAAUGGGCGAAAGCUUGACCCAGCAACGCCGCGUGGGUGAUGAAGGCCUUCGGGUCGUAAAGCCCUGUCGGAAGGAACGAACAGUCCUAAAGUGAACAAUUUUAGGAUCUGACGGUACCUUCAAAGGAAGCACCGGCUAACUCCGUGC
rnacentral:rRNA from 1 species